GUUGGGGUUGUGUGUGUUUGUGUCAUUGGUGUCAUCAUCUUGUGUAAAAGCAGGAAAAAUACAAGUAUUGACCAAAGUGGAAAAGAGGAUUUUAUGAAAAUGUAGCAGUGAAUAGAGUCAACGCUGCAUCUGAUUCAGCCUCAGCCAAUCAGAAUGAAGACCUGUAUGCUAAAGUUGUUUGCCAGCGUGCUGUUGAUCUCGGGGAUGCUGGAAGUUCUGCUGCAAUCACUUCUGCCUCUGGGGAGGACGAGGUUCAGUACGCUAGUGUUAAAUUUACACGCACUGGUGCUGAUGACAGGUCUUCCAAUGCUGAGGAUCUCAGUGUCGUCUACAGCAACAUGAAAUGAACAAAAUUUACAUGUUUGUUUCUGAUGUGUAAAGUUUGUGUGUCACAAAAUCAGCCUGAAAAUCAUCACAGUGUAAAUCCAGUUUUAGAUCUUCUGUCGUCUUCUGGACCCUCGCUGUGUAAAAACCAACAGAUCUCAAGUAAUGUAAUGCAAAAAAGUGAAUGAGAGGAUAUUGUAUAAGUGUAAAUAUUACCAGGAUUCAACUGUAAGCUGUCAGUCAGAGAUAUUUAGAUAGAGAUAACAAUCUCCGCCCACUAACUCAGAAUCCAGUUGAAAGACCAAUCAAAUUUAAGAUUGGAUUUUUGAACCAAUUAGAUUUGUUCAAAAUGAAACAAAAUUGUUUCCUAAAAUUUCUUCUUCACAAAGGAGUCAAAAAUCAGCCAACAGUCCAGAAUAACAUUAGUUACCUGAAAUAUGUUCUAGGAUAAUUGCUUUUGCUCAUUUGUAUGACACAAUUUAUAUAUAAUUUUUAAUCACAAGCUUAAAUAUAUUUACAUUUUAAUAUUACAUUUGCUAUUUUUUUUCUUUUUUUUGUUUGUAGUGUUUAUCAUGUGUACUCUGGAGUGUUAAUUUGCAGUGUGUAUUUAAAUUCGUUCAUUUAAUUGUAUGUAUUUAUAUAUUUCUUUUUUUUUAUAUUUCUUUAUUCUUUUUACUUCAGUAUCUGGGUGAAUGUCGGUGUUUAGAUCCUAUAACUGGUGUGUUUCUCUCCAUGACCACCUUCUCACGUGACUCAUUCACCCUGAAGGAAGA